AAUCUUGUUGUGCGCCGCGCUACUCUAACCGGAAAUGGCGAACAUCGUCUUUUCUAUUAUUUGGGCUUUAAUCCUAAUAUUCAUAUCAUUUUGGAUCGCCGGUAUUGCUGCUGGUAUCUACAUCAUCGUCUUACCCUUCACAGUGUGUAUAGAAGCGUUAACGGGACUCACAGAUUUCUUGUUGGCUGUAGUACAGUUCCCAAGAUACUGUGCUCAGGCAAUGAUGGAGGGAAGAGGUCUCAAUUAAUUAUUAUCUGUAUUCUAGUCAAUUAAUAUAGUAUUACUUUAUAAUGUUCAUAAUGUAUUCUAAUGUAAUUAUGCACAAGCGUAUAAAGCUACGUCCAAGAGGUGCCAUCUUCAUUUUAAUAAAGCUCGAGUAUUUGUCGUAAAAGUUAAAAAUAACAUUCGUAAUUUUAACAUGUAAACUGUAAGUACUUUAUGAAUGUUGAUGUGUGAACUGUUUAGUGAUGUCAGGAUGUCAGUAAAAUUUUAUUUUUGAGAUUAAAGUACAUAAAGUAAGAAUAUAUUUUCAUAGCAAUAAGAAAUUGUUAGGACAAUUUUUUUCUGCGAAACCAAUAAUGAACGCUUGUUUUAUUUUACAAAUAAGUUUACUUUGUUCGAAACAUUUUUACUUCUCCAACUAUGGAGUACAAAAAAUACCAUUGUAUUGGUAAUUUUUUAAGAAUUCAAAUACAUAUUUUACACCAGAACGUAUGCAAAGUUGUUGAAAAUAAUAUUGCAAAUAAUAAAAAAGAA
rnacentral:misc_RNA from 1 species